rnacentral:rRNA from 1 species
AAGGCUUAAAUGGGAAUUGACAGGUUUAGAAAUAGACUUUUCUUCGGACAAUUUUCAAGGUGCUGCAUGGUUGUCGUCAGCUCGUGCCGUGAGGUGUUAGGUUAAGUCCUGCAACGAGCGCAACCCCUGUCACUAGUUGCCAUCAUUCAGUUGGGGACUCUAGUGAGACUGCCUACGCAAGUAGAGAGGAAGGUGGGGAUGACGUCAAAUCAUCACGGCCCUUACGCCUUGGGCCACACACGUAAUACAAUGGCCGGUACAGAGGGCAGCUACCUAGCGAUAGGAUGCGAAUCUCGAAAGCCGGUCUCAGUUCGGAUUGGAGUCUGCAACUCGACUCUAUGAAGCUGGAAUCGCUAGUAAUCGCGCAUCAGCCAUGGCGCGGUGAAUACGUUCCCGGGCC